rnacentral:rRNA from 1 species
UGGGGGAUAUUGCACAAUGGGCGAAAGCCUGAUGCAGCGACGCCGCGUGGGGGAUGAAGGCUUUCGGGUUGUAAACCUCUUUCGCUAUCGAACAAGGCCCGCUUAGGGUGGGUUGAGGGUAGGUGGAGAAGAAGCGCCGGCUAACUACGUGCCAGCAGCCGCGGUAAUACGUAGGGCGCGAGCGUUGUCCGGAAUUAUUGGGCGUAAAGGGCUUGUAGGCGGCUUGUUGCGCCUGCUGUGAAAACGCGGGGCUUAACUUCGCGCGUGCAGUGGGUACGGGCAGACUUGAGUGUGGUAGGGGUGACUGGAAUUCCAGGUGUAGCGGUGGAAUGCGCAGAUAUCUGGAGGAACACCGAUGGCGAAGGCAGGUCACUGGGCCAUUACUGACGCUGAGGAGCGAAAGCAUGGGUAGCGAACAGG